rnacentral:sRNA from 1 species
GGGCAGGCCUAACCUCCCACCCGUGAAUACCUGACCAACGUUGCUUCGGCGGUGCGCCCCNCCGGGGGUAGCCGCCGGAGACCACACCGAACCUCUUGUUUAAGCCUGUUGUCUGAGCUUGAUAGCAAAUCUAUUAAAACUUUCAACAAUGGAUCUCUUGGUUCCGGCAUCGAUGAAGAACGCAGCGAACUGCGAUAAGUAAUGUGAAUUGCAGAAUUCAGUGAAUCAUCGAGUCUUUGAACGCACAUUGCGCCCCCUGGCAUUCCGGGGGGCAUGCCUGUCCGAGCGUCAUUGCUGCCCUUCAAGCCCGGCUUGUGUGUUGGGUCGUCGUCCCCCCCGGGGGACGGGCCCGAAAGGCAGCGGCGGCACCGCGUCCUGGUCCUCGAGCGUAUGGGGCUUUGUCACCCGCUCGAUUAGGGCCGGCCGGGCGCCAGCCGACGUCUCCAACCUUUUAUUUUACCAGGUUGACCUCGGAUCAGGUAGGGAUACCCGCUGAACUUAAGCAUAUCAAUAAGCGGAGGAAAAGAAACCAACCGGGAUUGCCUCAGUAACGGCGAGUGAAGCGGCAAGAGCUCAAAUUUGAAAUCUGGCCCCUCCGGGGUCCGAGUUGUAAUUU